UGCUAGGUGGAUUAGUGGCGCACGGGUGAGUAAUGGAUAGGUUACCUGCCUCAUAGUCUGGGACAACAAUUGGAAACGAUUGCUAAUACCGGAUAUUCCCUACGGGGGAAAGAUUUAUCGCUAUGAGAUGGGCCUAUCUCCUAUCAGCCAGUUGGUAAGGUAAUGGCUUACCAAGGCAAUGACGGGUAGCUGGUCUUAGAGGACGAUCAGCCACACUGGAACUGAGACACGGUCCAGACUCCUACGGGAGGCAGCAGUGGGGAAUAUUGCACAAUGGGGGAAACCCUGAUGCAGCAACGCCGCGUGGAGGAUGACGCAUUUCGGUGUGUAAACUCCUUUUAUCAAGGAAGAAAUUUGACGGUACUUGAUGAAUAAGCACCGGCUAACUCCGUGCCAGCAGCCGCGGUAAUACGGAGGGUGCAAGCGU
rnacentral:rRNA from 1 species